rnacentral:rRNA from 1 species
CAGUAGCCGCGGUAAUACGAAGGGGGCUAGCGUUGUUCGGAUUUACUGGGCGUAAAGGGCGCGUAGGCGGACUGAUAAGUCAGGGGUGAAAUCCCAAGGCUCAACCUUGGAACUGCCUUUGAUACUGUUUGUCUUGAGUUCGAGAGAGGUAAGUGGAACUGCGAGUGUAGAGGUGAAAUUCGUAGAUAUUCGCAAGAACACCAGUGGCGAAGGCGGCUUACUGGCUCGAAACUGACGCUGAGGCGCGAAAGCGUGGGGAGCAAACAGGAUUAGAUACCCGUGUAGUCCCUGUCUCUUAUAC